rnacentral:rRNA from 1 species
UCCCUACGGGGGGCAGCAGUGGGGAAUAUUGCACAAUGGGGGGAACCUUGAUGCAGCAACGCCGCGUGGGUGAAGAAGUACUCCGGUAUGUAAAGCCCUGUCAGCAGGGAAGAAAAUGACGGUACCUGACCAAGAAGCCCCGGCUAACUACGUGCCAGCAGCCGCGGUAAUACGUAGGGGGCAAGCGUUGUCCGGAAUUACUGGGUGUAAAGGGAGCGCAGGCGGGAAGCCAAGUCAGCUGUGAAAACUACGGGCUUAACUUGUAGACUGCAGUUGAA